AAAAAGGCAAAAAAAAAGGGGCGCUGGGUGUUGGCAGCAAGGGAUCUUCGCACAGAUCAGUGAGAGCACCAAAACCGCAGGAAAUUGCCCCAAAACCGAGGCAGCGUGGACGCCCGACACGAAAAGGCAGAGAGAGCCCGGCAGCAAAACCUCCCAAAAAACGUGUAGGAAAGGGAGAAAAUAGGUAUUUGUGCUGUUUUUCACCCAAAUUGGAGAUCCGGAUAGAUUCGGGGCCGUGGUGUCAGAAUGGUGGUGUUUCACCCCGGGUGGGUCGUCCCCAUCAGCCCAAGUUUUGCUUGUUUUCCACCCAUUUAAAAAUGAAAAACAGUGGCUGAAAGUGCCCCAAAAUGGCAGAAAAUGCCCCCAAAAUGAGCAGUCUGCACAGCAGUGCACGGCUCCGUGCCCUUCAGCGGGCAUUGCAGUGGAAGAAG
rnacentral:misc_RNA from 1 species